AUCCAGUUGACGAGUCCCGAAUAGGACGAAACGCGCGUUAAACUGGAU
rnacentral:hammerhead_ribozyme from 1 species